rnacentral:lncRNA from 1 species
CUUGGAGCCGCGGCAGCUCAGGGGCUGCCUGCGGGACCGUCAGAAUCUGCCGCCUUCACAGACGCGUCUUCAGCCACAGGGAGCAGUUCUCCACGCUUUUGCUGGAAAACCCCCCCAAGUACAAACUCAGCGCAAACCUCGUGAGCUCCAGAAGCUGACUCAUCUCUCAAACUUUCCUACUUACACUAAUUUUUCCUUCGUUUUCUUUUGAGCAAUACGUAUCUUUCUCUUUUUCUGAGUUUUUAUGAUUUUGUCCUGGGUUUGUUUGUGCUUAUUGUCUAAUUAGGAUUUCGCUACACCGUAGUGUUAGGGUCGUGCUAUUCUCAAACAUCUCUUUUUCAGACGAACUUUUUUUUUUGCCACUUCUGAAUCUGGGAGUUAGUAUUCUUUAAAUAUGAGGUAAUUUUUCUGAAUUUCAUUUGAUGACUACAAUACCAUAUGGAUUAUAUUUCCAAUAAUCAGAGCUAGUUAUUUAUUUUGAGUAACAGCAUUCAUUGAGUUUUGAUGAUAAACAUUUUGAUUAUUAGUAUAAAUACUAUUUUGUACAGUGGGAAUGGGACAUACCGUGUUCAAUUGCUGAUGGGCCUGUCAUCCCAGGAGACUUUAAGGUCAGGAGGGAGGGGCUCUGCCUGUUCUCCUUACAUGGAAUUCCCACCAGCCCCUAACAGGGGAGUAAGCAUUCCUGGAACUGUUUACAGCAAUUACAGUGACCUCCGACAACCGCGUGUGCAUUGGCAUGCAAACGUCUCCAAGAGCCAUUGAGCCAAAACACUGCCAGAGGCUCCGUGUGACACCAGCCAAGCCCUGUUACUUGGGGGUCGUGAGUGUGACAUGCACCCACGGGAGAGGCAAGCACCCACCUGAGGACCAAGGGUGGGGCUGGGGGGCUGCCGCAGGCCCUGGCGUUUUCCUCGAUGCUUCCUCAUCCUGGGUGGGCAGCCUCAGAGCCCCCUUUGCAUGCCUUCUGCUGCGAGAGCUGUUGAAUUCAGAGAGAUGUCCCUUCGGAGAACCGCGGGUGUGAAGUCGCCCUGCCACCUGCGGAGUCAGCAACACAUUCCCUUCUGGGGGGCAUGUGCCAGAGGUCCUGGGUGGUUGAGGCUCCAGCCCCGAGUGAGAGGCGACUGCAUUUAAACAGAUCUGAAAGCAGCUGUGAUGGUGGCAGGACCUCGAGGAUAAAGAAGAAACAGGAGUUUGAUUGUGUGAAUUAGUGGAAGUGUGUUAACUCCGGAGACACCUGGAAACAUCCAGAGUUGAUCUCAAAGAAACAGUGACGUGGGCAGUGUUGAAAUUUCUGGAAUUGAUUGAGAAAUGGAAUGUUUAUGAAGCUGUCCUGAUGCGAAGACUGGUGGCUUUGGGGGCGAGUCAGGAAACACGACCCUGCAGAGGCCAUUGAUGCCGCGGCCGCUAUUCAGUCGUCGUGAAAAUGAAUCCUCGAAAAUAGAAGCUGCAGUCUAGCUACUUGUUACGGUCACAGACCUUUUGAAGCUUUCCUCAAAACUGUGCCGACAUAAUUACCUAUUUAAUACACUAUUUGUUAUUAAUUAAAAAGAAUUUAGUGGCCUAAU